rnacentral:rRNA from 1 species
CCUACGGGAGGCAGCAGUGGGGAAUAUUGCACAAUGGGCGCAAGCCUGAUGCAGCCAUGCCGCGUGUGUGAAGAAGGCCUUCGGGUUGUAAAGCACUUUCAGCGGGGAGGAAGGCGUUAAGGUUAAUAACCUUGGCGAUUGACGUUACCCGCAGAAGAAGCACCGGCUAACUCCGUGCCAGCAGCCGCGGUAAUACGGAGGGUGCAAGCGUUAAUCGGAAUUACUGGGCGUAAGGCGCACGCAGGCGGUCUGUCAAGUCGGAUGUGAAAUCCCCGGGCUCAACCUGGGAACUGCAUUCGAAACUGGCAGGCUAGAGGCUUGUAGAGGGGGGUAGAAUUCCAGGUGUAGCGGUGAAAUGCGUAGAGAUCUGGAGGAAUACCGGUGGCGAAGGCGGCCCCCUGGACAAAGACUGACGCUCAGGUGCGAAAGCGUGGGGAGCAAACAGGAUUAGAUACCCGAGUAGUC